UCCAUUAUGACAUCACCCUAUUUGUGAACUGAUCUCCAGUUGGCUAAGAUAACUCAUGUAACUAAUUGAGGAGGAGACAGAAAAAGAAGGGGAAAUGAUGUAGAAGAAAAAAAAAUCAAUACAGCAAUUGAUGACAGCAAGCAAGAAGAGGCAGUGGAAGUGCUAAACCAUUGCUUGGCUAUGGCAAUUAUCUGGAUGAAGGCUACAAGCUGAGGGUCCAACAAGAUAAGGCUGCAACAAUUUGUAAGUGAUUCUGCUGUGCAUAUAAGACAUGCCCACCUCUGAAACAGGACAGAGGUUAGCGUUCUACCUAAGGGUUACAUUUAAUAUCUUGUGGUUCAAUCGUCUCCAUUGAUGGACUCCACCUGUAUACAUUGACUUCAUGCGAAUGGCAUAGUUGGAUACACCAAUUGCAUUCUUGAUGACUUUCUCAGGGGAACCAAUUUCCUCCUCAUCCAGUUGUCUCAUUUGGGUCCAGGGAGAAGACAGUCCUAGCCUGAAGUCAGCUGAGCCUAAAGCUUCAGCUUUGAAGAAUUGCUGUGCAGGGAAGCUGAACUUCUGGUCUGGGGUACACUUCAGCAGUCAUUGCCAGAACGUACUGACAGCUCCUUGCAGGGAAUGGAGAAAGUUGGAGUUAAUUGAGCAUUUCGAGGGAGACUGAAAGCAAACAAGACAGCCAUAUUUCUCCUUUUCUUAACAUUUUAAAGUGGG